CUCAGUUUUUACAUUUUAUUCUUUAUUUAUCGGUUAUUUUAUGUUGCUUUGCAAAUUUCGUCGACGCCAACCAAGAGCUAUAUGAGGACAAUUGGAAAGAAAUCCUUGAAGGAGAAUGGAUGGUAGAAUUUUACGCUCCUUGGUGCCCAGCCUGCAACGCACUAGCCCCAACAUGGAGCGACCUCUCAAAACGAAUGAGACGCAAGCAAUUGGGGGUCCGUACUGGAGCUGUUGACGUCACGAAGUCACCCGGCCUUAGCGGCAGAUUCGUCGUCACCGCCUUGCCUACUAUAUACCACGUAAAGGAUGGAGAGUUCCGUCAAUACAAAGGGCCCCGUGACGUGGAUUCCAUGCUGGGCUACAUUGAAGAGCAGCGAUGGAAGCAAACCGACCCUGUACCUGGAUGGAAGGCGCCGAACUCGUUGCAGAUGAGCCUCGUCGCCGAGUUCUUUAAACUCAGCCAGGCACUAAGGAAUGUACACAACAUGCUAAUGGAGACGUAUGGUCUGCCCACGUGGGGCUCGUACCUCAUCUUCGCUGUGGGCACCAUCUUCUUAGGAGCGCUGCUUGGUCUGCUACUAGUAUGUAUAAUUGACUUCCUGUACCCGCCGCGGCGCCCGGACAAAGUGUUCGUAUCACAAGCGGAAGCGGAUAAACUACUGGAGAAGAAGGAAGAAGAAUUGAUCAAUGACGACAUUGUGGACGAUGCAGAGAAAGACAGCGAUGAAGAGAAGAACUCACCUCCUGAUACUUCUGAAGACGACGAUGAAAAACAGGUUUCAGAGGGCGGCGGCGACAACGAGCGCGCGACGGAGGUGCGCAAGCGACGCCCACGCAAGGCCGACUAGACCCCGUGCUCGGCGGUGAGCUUUAAAGGGAUCGGGAAAGAUACGACGCGAGCAUCGUUAGCAAUAUGGCUUGCGUGAGGCUUCAUAUUGUAAGGCUGUAAUAGAAAUUGAUUUUCAUUAAUAACAAAUUUGGGAAGUCAUAAAAAUUCCUAUCAUAAGUUUUAAAAAAUCCUUCAAGUGCCUAUCGUUUUAUCGGAUUUUGCGCGUAAUGCAGACCUGUACUCCCAUGACUUUUUUUAUUUGAUGCGAGCUAAAUUUGAAAGUAAUUUUAGGUAACACGCCGACCGCUUAAGUGAGUCGGUUGCUGAGGUAGCUGCACAGUGCGGGAGGGAUGAUAGUUUACGUAACACUUAUGGCACGCUGCACACGAGAUAUUUCAACAAAAAUGUUUCUGACUAUAUUCAAUAACAAGUUGAUUUGAAAAAAGUACCAAAUGGCUUAUCUAUUAAUUUUAAUUAUCCUUGAAAUAGUUUUUUUUUAUUAUCGUUUCACAGAACAACAAUUGACUAAUUCGGUAGGCACUUUAUUCAAUCAAAUUUCUAUUUAAUAACGUUAGAAUAAUCUUGAUGAAAUUAUCCAGAUUACAGCGCGACAUAACUGUUACACACACUGCGACAAACGCGAUGCAGUCGCUAAUCGUCUACCUAUACACACGCACGCGAUUUUAAGCAGCUAUGCAAACACGAUACAAGCGCGCGACUGCAUCGGUACAAACGCGCGAUUGCAUCGCUGCUAAAGUCGCCGUGUGUAACCACUCUUACGUAAACUCAGUUGAGCGGUAGGCCUGUAGUUUGUUAAUACAAAAAAAAAUUUAUGAGCAGUCAUCUUUUAAGUUUCGCUAUCUAAUCAAGUCACCCACGUUUAUCUUAUGAAUUAAAUAUAAAGAUUUUUAUAUACACUCACGGUUUAGGGAUACGGCAUCACUAUUUGAUGUGGUUAAUGUAUUAAAAAACCUGAUUGACUUACUUAGUCUUCAAAUUAAGCAUCUAGGAUUAAUAAACAGCUCAUUAACCCGGUCACUCGUAUCUCGAGACGCAUUUCAAACUCACCUGUGUUAAUUAAAUAUAAUCCCUUAAGUGAUACCAUCUCAAGUAACCAAGACUCAACAACUUGAUCGAUUAGGACUACAGACUUAUAAGACUCUAGACAAACAGACUGCAUCAACUGCACUCUGUCUGCAAAUUUGCAGUUUGAAUGCAGUUCAAAUGCAGUUGAACCAACUGCAUUUUAUACUAGUUUAUAACAAAACCCAUAAAGGACUAUAACCAUACGAAACACUAUGGUACGGCAUGUAACACAAACCUACCUUUUUGAAGUCACCCUACUGUGUGGUCCGCCGUAAGACACUGCUAAUAUAAAGAUCAAACUCGGCACCACGUCCAUUCUACAAGCAGAUUAUAGAUGGAAAGUGUUUAUCAAACGCACCUCUAAUAAACGUGCUAUGAGGAUAAUAUGUGCUCUGUGCUGAUACCGUGUUGUAAGGUUUGACACUAAGUGUGUUUGUCAAUCUUUGGAAUAUCCACAACAUAGGGGUGGAACCCAAGCCUACGCCUAGUCCCCCGGUGAUGGAAAGGGGAAGGAGGAAUUAAAUCCUGUAAUUCCAUCGCACACUCUCCGUGAUAUA